UAUAAAUCCAAAUUGUCCUUUAGUCUAUGUCACACAUGGUAGGAUUUUGAAUGCUCACUUUUGGCAUCAUGACAUGUUUUGCUCCCAUUACUGGGGUUCUGGUAGUCAUCAAGAUAACCACCACAUUUGUUCCUCGCAAGGAUAAGAACUUGAAGAUCUAGGAAAGACAGAAGACUGAACUUCAAGGAAAAUGAAAGUACCAAUUUUAUUCCCUCAGGAUGGAAAGGCUCUAAGGCUGGAAAUCUGGUAAACAGACUCUGACUUUGAUAUUUUAUAGGAAACAAGAAUUACACCUGACACCCUGUUGGUCCUGUUUACUUAUGCAAACCUGUGCCUUCCCAUUGUUUGUCUGCUAACAAGAAGCUGCCAACUCAGGGAGCUAUUUUGCUUCCCUUGUCUUCCUGUGUUCCUUAUAAAGAGGGGGCACCUUUAGUAACAGCAUGGGAGAAGCAGAAGCAGGCCAGUCUCUGCAAACCCAAGGGUCAUGGGACAUGAUUCAGGAAAGAAGAUUUUAAAAGGCAUUUUGAUACAGAAAUGAUUGGUUCUAAAGUGGGAGAGCCAAAUUCCAUUUUCAGAGCCAGCUUCUCAGUGAACUCAAACACUAUAUGAAAAUUUCAUGUGUAUACAAAAGGCAUUUGUUUCUCCAUAAAGCCAUUGGGCUUAUAGUGAGCAAGGAACACACUGCUGGUGGAAGUAGAAGCAGACACCCAUAACUAAUCACCGAUCUGAACCGGAACCCAGAUG